CAACGAGNGAGACCCACGCCUNCAGUUGCNAGCUNAUCCUCCGGANUNGUGGGAACACUGUUGGGACCGCNUCUGCUAAAGAGGAGGAAGGAAUGGGCAACGGUAGGUCAGCAUGCCCNGAAUNAUCCGGGCUACACGCGGGCUACAAUGGGUGGGACAAUGGGUAUCGUNCCCCGAAAGGNNAAGGCAAUCUCCUAAACCCAUCCUUAGUUCGGAUUGNGGGCUGCAACUCGCCCNCAUGAAGCUGGAAUCGUGUAGUAAUCGUGUCUCAACAGGCACGGU
rnacentral:rRNA from 1 species